rnacentral:rRNA from 1 species
UGGGGAAUAUUGGACAAUGGGGGCAACCCUGAUCCAGCCAUGCCGCGUGAGUGAUGAAGGCCUUCGGGUUGUAAAGCUCUUUCGGCGGGGACGAAACGGUUCGCGCUAACACCGCGGACUAAUGACGGUACUCGCAGAAGAAGCACCGGCUAACUACGUGCCAGCAGCCGCGGUAAUACGUAGGGUGCAGGCGUUAAUCGGAAUUACUGGGCGUAAAGCGUGCGCAGGCGGCUCCUUAAGUCAGAUGUGAAAGCCCCGGGCUUAACCUGGAACUGCGUUUGAAACUGGGGAGCUGGAGUGUAGAAGAGGGGGUGGAAUUCCAGGUGUAGCAGUGAAAUGCGUAGAGAUCUUGGAGGAACACCGAUGGCGAAGGCAGCCCCCUGGGCUAACACUGACGCUCAUGCACGAAAAGUGUGGGGAGCAAACA